GGUGCUCACCUGCAAGCCACAUGGCCAUGCAGCUGGACUGGAGCCGGGAGGGAGGAGGAACAGCCCCCAGACGGAGGGCACGCACGGGUGGGGGUGCUGGUGACUCUGCCCAAGACGGGAGGAUGUGGCUGUCCCCGUGUCCUGGAGAAACCACCCUAGAACAGCCUGCAGCUGCAGCCCUGGACAGCAAGGGGGACCACAGGGCCUGAGGGAAGACUGGCUGCAGGGCGCCCUCAGCAACCCCUCAGAAGCUGCCUCCCUUCCAGGACACAAGGUGGCGUCCGAAGACCACCAGCAGCCUGAGCAGCCUGGCCCUCCAGAGGCCCCUCGCCUCCCGGCACCGCUCCAGCCUCCCUCAGCCCUGGCUGCCAGCCACCCGCCUCCCCGCUGGUCCCCACAGCCCUGCCUGGGAUCCCCAUGUCAGCCCCUCCCCCCGAACCCAGACUUCCUCCCUCUCUCCAGGUGACUGCUUCCUCCUCCCUGCCCCUGCUGCGGUGUCCACCCAUGAUGUCCCACACAGGGGCCAGGGUGGGGGUGGGGUGGGGUGGGGGUGAGGGUGAGUGGCAGGGGAAUCACACCUCAACUUUGUUCCUUUGAACUUUUCUUUUUUUUUUUUUUAAUUUUUGGGGUGCUGGGGCCUGAACCUAGGGCCUCAUGCAGGGUAGGCAAGUGCCCUACCUACCACUAAGAUACAUUCCCAGCUAAACUUUUCAUUGAGAAGAGAUAUAAUAGCACUGUCCAUUAUCAUUUGA